rnacentral:rRNA from 1 species
UACGUAGGGUGCGAGCGUUGUCCGGAAUUACUGGGCGUAAAGAGCUCGUAGGCGGUGUGUCGCGUCGGCCGUGAAAACCUGGGGCUUAACUCUGGGCGUGCGGUCGAUACGGGCAUCACUGGAGUUCGGCAGGGGAGACUGGAAUUCCUGGUGUAGCAGUGAAAUGCGCAGAUAUCAGGAGGAACACCGGUGGCGAAGGCGGGUCUCUGGGCCGAUACUGACGCUGAGGAGCGAAAGCAUGGGUAGCGAACAGG